rnacentral:pre_miRNA from 1 species
GAUAAUCGUCGCCCCGGCGGAGGCCGGGGCCGCUGCAAUGUGAGGCAGCCGGUUCGUACCCCUUCCAGCGGCCCCGGCCUCCGCCGGAGCGACGGAGAAC